rnacentral:rRNA from 1 species
UGCUAACGUCCGUCGUGAAGAGGGAAACAACCCAGACCGCCAGCUAAGGUCCCAAAGUCAUGGUUAAGUGGGAAACGAUGUGGGAAGGCCCAGACAGCCAGGAUGUUGGCUUAGAAGCAGCCAUCAUUUAAAGAAAGCGUAAUAGCUCACUGGUCGAGUCGGCCUGCGCGGAAGAUGUAACGGGGCUAAACCAUGCACCGAAGCUGCGGCAGCGACGCUUAUGCGUUGUUGGGUAGGGGAGCGUUCUGUAAGCCUGCGAAGGUGUGCUGUGAGGCAUGCUGGAGGUAUCAGAAGUGCGAAUGCUGACAUAAGUAACGAUAAAGCGGGUGAAAAGCCCGCUCGCCGGAAGACCAAGGGUUCCUGUCCAACGUUAAUCGGGGCAGGGUGAGUCGACCCCUAAGGCGAGGCCGAAAGGCGUAGUCGAUGGGAAACAGGUUAAUAUUCCUGUACUUGGUGUUACUGCGAAGGGGGGACGGAGAAGGCUAUGUUGGCCGGGCGACGGUUGUCCCGGUUUAAGCGUGUAGGCUGGUUUUCCAGGCAAAUCCGGAAAAUCAAGGCUGAGGCGUGAUGACGAGGCACUACGGUGCUGGAGCAACAAAUGCCCUGCUUCCAGGAA